rnacentral:rRNA from 1 species
UACGGGGGGGGCAAGCGUUGUUCGGAAUUACUGGGCGUAAAGGGCUCGUAGGCGGCCAACUAAGUCGGAUGUGAAAUCCCCAGGCUUAACUUGGGAACUGCAUCCGAUACUGGAUGGCUUGAAUCCGGGAGAGGGAUGCGGAAUUCCAGGUGUAGCGGUGAAAUGCGCAGAUAUCAGGAGGAACACCCGUAGCGAAGGCGGCACUCUGGGCCGAUACUGACACUGAGGAGCGAAAGCGU